GGACGUGAGGGUGAAUGUGGUAUACAUCUGUCAUUCCAAUAAUCUCGCUGGCAGAUCGGUAUUCCCUUCCUCUGUCAUUGCUCCACAUAUAUCUCUCCCAAAGUGGCACAACUGGUGGAAGAAGACAACCUUAACUGAUGGGGGAGGGACAGUCUUUGGUCAAGGAGAGCUGAGUGGUUGUGCUCAGCCCUCAAGACCCCAAAACAAUACAGAGUGUCAAGAGAUGAAGAGGACUUUGCUAUCUUCU
rnacentral:snRNA from 1 species